CUUCUUUUGCUGCGGACUCUUGGCUGCGACACACCAAGCAUUACUACGCUCGUGACAACUCCACGUUCUUGAAUCAUGACCGCAAAUCCCGACCAGGUUAUUCUGGUUUUAGUGGAAGAUAUACGUCUGGCCACUCGGUCGACGUCUACAUCGGCCCUACACCCGACGCGCGACGCGUCCUGUGAGACGAUACAGGCGAAGCACGUGGAUGCUGCUACCACGACAAAUGAGGGU